UUGACUGCGGUGAUGACGCUUUUGUGGACUAGAGUUUCUGAUUUUUGGGUUCUACCCAAAAAUUGAAGACAAACCCUUGGCUGUCUGAGCGCUACA
rnacentral:snoRNA from 1 species